rnacentral:rRNA from 1 species
UGGCGACCGGCGUACGGGUGAGUAACGCGUAUCCAACCUGCCCUUUACUAUGGGACAGCCCGUCGAAAGGCGGAUUAAUACCGUAUGUUGUCAUGUUGAUGCAUAUUUUCAUGACCAAAGGCUUCGGCCGGUAAAGGAUGGGGAUGCGUCUGAUUAGCUUGCCGGCGGGGUGACGGCCCACCGUGGCGACGAUGCGUAGGGGUUCUGAGAGGAAGGUCCCCCACAUUGGAACUGAGACACGGUCCAAACUCCUACGGAAGGCAGCAG